UGCACAGCCGCUCAGAAGGCAGCAAAAUGCUUGUGUCUUUCUGUUGCAGCAACAACCGCAUCUCUGCAGUGGGAGCCUUGAGCCUGGGCCUGGGCCUCCGGGCCAAUCAGACACUGAGGAUUCUUGUUAUGUCCAGGAAUCCCAUGCGAGGCGAAGGCUGCUUUGGAGUUCUAAAGUGUGUCCGGGAUAAUCCAAUGUCCAGCCUAGAACUCCUGGAUUUCUCUGAGAUCCAAGUGGACAGAGAGUUCGAUGACCUCGGCAGCUCAGUGAAGGUACUUCUUCCAGCGCUCCGUGUGGAGACUGCUGCCCACAGAGCAGAGUACAGAAAAGUUGCUGCCGGCCUUCACCCCAUCCCUAGCAGCAUCUGUCCCUCAGGGGCUGCGGUGUGAGGUUCCUCGUCUCACGUUGGCCACUCGCUUCCACAUCGAGGGAUCUUGGCCUCACGAUGCCUUAUCACCACUUGUGUCUGCAGGGAGUCCCCAUGUCAACUGGGCGGUAAGUCCUGUGGAGCUCGUGUUGAUGAGGUCUCCGACACCUGUACCCUCCUCUCCAUCCCGUGGCCUCUGUUAGCGCAGAGACUGGGUCUUCCUGUGCUCACACUAAUUUGUGUAACUUGUACUAUGUGCUACAUAUUGAGCUGGGUAUGGGGUCAGAGAUACCCAAAGUCCCUACUUUGGUGACCUCAGGAGACAAUGAAAGUACAAAUUGGACUUGCCAGAAUGCAAACUAACACAACUUUUUUGGAAGGCAAUUUAUCAUUAUGCACCAAGAGCCUUAAGACUGCUGUGUUCUUUGAUUCAAUGGUCUGAUUAAUCUGCUCUGUAGAAAUACCCAGAGCUGCAUAAAAAGAUUGAUGCCCAACGAUGUUCACUGAAAUGCUGUUUAUAACAUGAAAAUUGGAAAUAAUCUAAAUGCCCACCAACAGGGAAAUGGUUAACUAAGAUUUGGAAGUCUGCAAACAUUAAAAGCCAAGUGUUCAAAGAACAUUUAACAGUUUAUGAAAAUGCACAUGAUCAAUGUUAAGCGAGAACAUCAGGAUAAAACAAUCACACGGGUUGUCUGCUCGUUCCUCAAAAGAUUAUACAUGUGGUUUAUCAUAGACCCAGCAAUUCCAAGAGAAAUGAAAACAUAUGUUCACACAAAACCUUGCACACGGAUGUUCACAGCUUUAUUCAUAAUAUCCACAAAGUACAAAUGUCCACCCACUGAUAAAUGGAUGAAUGAAAUAUGGUACCCCAUACAAUGGAAUACCCCUAGAAUUUGGCCAGAGACAGGAAUGAAAUGUGGGGUGAUGAAAUGUUCUAUAUCUGAUUGUGGUAAUGGUUGCACAACUCCGUGAAUACAGUACAAACCAGUGGAUUGUACACCACUUUCAAAUUGUUGGGGGGGGGGUGCCUGAGUGGCUCAGUCGGUUAUGUGUCUGCCUUCGGCUCAGGUCAUGAUCCCAGGGUCCUGGGAUCGAGCCCUGCAUCAGGUUCCCUGCUCAGCAGAGAGUCUGCUUCUCCCUCUCCCUGUCUCCCGGCUUGUGCUUUCACCCUCUCUCCGUCAAAUAAAUAAAUAAAAUCUUUAAAAAAUAAUAAUAAUAAAAUUGGGGGUUGCCUGGCUGACUUAACCUGUAGAGCAUGUGACUCUUGAUUUCUGGUUUGUGAGUCAAGCCCCAUAUCGCGUGUAGAGAUUACUUAAAAAUAAAAUUUUUUAAAAAAAUGGGUGAAUUGUAUAGUAUGUGAAUUGUAUCUCAAGAAAGCUGUUACCAAAACAAAACAAAUCAUAUUGUUGGAUGCAAAUUGUGUAAAAAAGACGUAUAAGUGUAUAUAUGCAGGAGAAAAGACUGAAAAAACCCUGACAUAUUAACAAUGGUUAGCUUUACGGUAUGGGUUUGGAGAUGAUUUUAAUUUUUUUCCUAUUAUUCAUUAUUUUCCACAUUUCCUAUGCUGAAUAUGUGUUCCUUUCAUAACCAGAAAAAAAAAUAGUACUUUAAAACAUGAGGGAAAAAAAUAAAAAAAAGGUGGGGGGGAGAUGCCUGGGUGGCUCAGU